rnacentral:lncRNA from 1 species
CGCCCGCCCUGCCCCUAUUUAUGGGUGCAGCCGCGCGGCGCAGCGCCCCGUGCAACAACACGGCAAUCACGUGUGGGAAACGGGGAGCUGGAGGAAAACAAAAGCCCGGCCAGCAACCCGGAGGAGGAGGAGAGAGAAGGGAGAAGGAGGUCAUGGGCUUAUGUAAGUGGCUGGACAAGUGGUAACAGGAGUUCAGAGCAUGAUAGAAUUUGUACACAGUGCACGAAGAGCUGGAAGAGAGACUCAUCAGCUGUGGGUGUUUGGAGACAGUGAGAAACUUGGGGUGACACAGAUUUCCUGGAAGUGCAUAGAUCCACAGUUGUCUCUUAUGAAGAACCUAACUUUAUUUUCUUCCCUUGUUCUAAGCUUCACGAGGAAUAAAGCACAUCUGAUGCAGGA